rnacentral:misc_RNA from 1 species
GAAGGCAUAUGGGCAGCCCUAGUACUUAACUUAUGUGAAGCUCUCACCUAAGGAUUUAAAGACGGUGAGUGACUAAUUCCAUGGGACCCUGGUACCAAAGGACAUGGGAAGGUACACGGGCAGCCCGAGAUUAGAUAGAUUCAUGAGCAGAAUAGAAAGGGUUGAUGCUGAUGUGUUGAGAUUUCUCCACACAGCUAAGGCUUAUUGACACUGGGUGCGUUGAGUUCGC